UACGUAGGGUCCGAGCGUUGUCCGGAUUUAUUGGGCGUAAAGAGCUCGUAGGCGGUUCCGUAAGUCGGAUGUGAAAACUCGGGGCUCAACCCCGAGACGCCAUCCGAUACUGCGGUGACUUGAGUCUGGUAGGGGAACACGGAAUUCCUGGUGUAGCGGUGAAAUGCGCAGAUAUCAGGAAGAACAUCGGUGGCGAAGGCGCUCUGCUGGACCAUAACUGACACUCAGGGACGAAAGCUAGGGGAGCGAAUGGG
rnacentral:rRNA from 1 species